rnacentral:rRNA from 1 species
GGUUUGAUUCUGGCUCAGAUUGAACGCUGGUGGGAUGCUUUACACGUGUCGAACGGCAGCACGACUUCGGUCUGAAGAGUGGCGAACGGGUGAGUAAUGUGUAUCGGAACGUGCCUGGUAGCUGGGGAUGAAUUCACGCGAAAGCGUAGCUAAUACCGCAUAACAUUCCCGUGGCGGGACCUCGGGCCUCGCGGUAACUCAGGGAGCGCAUUGAUAUCGGAUUAGCCAGUUGCGGGUGCAACGGCUCACCAAGGCGACGAUCCGUAGCUGGGUUUUGAGAGGACGACCAGCCGCACUUGGGACUGAGACACGGCCCAGACUACGGGAGGCAGCAGUGGGGUAAUUGGACAAUGGAACCUGAUCCAGCCAUCCGGCGUGUGCGAUGAAGGCCUCUGGGUUGUAAAGCACUUUGGCAGGAAAAGAAACGGCACGGGAUAAUACCCCCGCACCGACGGUACCUGCAGAAUAAGCACCGCUAACUACGUGCCAGCAGCUGCGUAAUACGUAGGGUGCAAGCGUUAAUCGGAAUUACUGGGCGCAAAAGCGUGCGCAGGCGGUUCGGAAAGAAAGAUGUGAAAUCCCAGAGCGAACUUUGAACUGCAUUUUUAAUCACCGAGCUAGAGGCAAAUGAGAGGUGGAAUUCCGCGUGUAGCAGUGAAAAUGCGUAGAUAUGCGGAGGAACAUCGAUGGCGAAAAGGUUUCCGAUAACACUGACGCUCAUGCACGAAAGCAGAGCAAUGAUUAGAUACUCCCAGUAGUCCACGCCCUAAACGAUGUCAACUAGCUGUUGGGGCCUCUGGCCUUGCAGCAGCCAAUUCGCGAAGUUGACCGCCUGGGGAGUACGGUCGCAAGAUUAAAACUCAAAGGAAUUGACGGGACCCGCACCAAGCGGUGGAUGAUGUGAUUAAUUCGAUGCAAACGCAAAAACCUUAAUACCUACCCUGAUGUCUGGAAUCCUGAAGAGAUUUGGGGAGUGCUCGCAAAUAGAACUGAACACAGGUGCUGCAUGGCUGUCGUCAGCUCGUGUCGAGACGUUGCUGUCUCGCAACGAGCGGCAACCCUUGUCAUUAGUUGUUACGAAAGGGCACUCUAGAUUGAGACUGCCGGGGACAACCUGGAGGAAGGUGGGGAUGACGUCAAGUCCUCAUGGCUCCCAUGGGUAGGGCUUCACACGUCAUACAAUGGUCGGGACAGAGGGUCGCCAACCUGCGAGGGGGAGCCAAUCCCAGAAACCCGAUUCAGUCUCUGACCGUAGUCUGCACUGACCGUGGAAGUCUGAAUUGCUUAGUAAUCGCGGAUCAGCAUGUCACGGUGAAUACGUUCCCGGGUCUUGUACACACCGCCCGUCACACCAUGGGAGUGGGUUUACCAGAAGUAGUUAGCCUAACCGUAAGGAGGGAAGGAUACGACGGUAGAUUCGCGACUGGGGUAAGCCCAACAAGGUAACCCU